GAUGAACGCUGGCGGCGUGCCUAAUACAUGCAAGUCGAGCGAACAGACGAGGAGCUUGCUCCUCUGACGUUAGCGGCGGACGGGUGAGUAACACGUGGAUAACCUACCUAUAAGACUGGGAUAACUUCGGGAAACCGGAGCUAAUACCGGAUAAUAUAUUGAACCGCAUGGUUCAAUAGUGAAAGACGGUUUUGCUGUCACUUAUAGAUGGAUCCGCGCCGCAUUAGCUAGUUGGUAAGGUAACGGCUUACCAAGGCAACGAUGCGUAGCCGACCUGAGAGGGGGAUCGGCCACACUGGAACUGAGACACGGGCCCGACUCCUACGGGAGGGAGGAGUAGGGAAUUUUCCGGAAGGGGCGAAAGCCUGACGGAGCAACGCCGGGGGAGUGAAGAAGGUCUUCGGGACGUAAAACCCUGUUAUUAGGGAAGAAAAAAUGGGGAAGGAAAUAUGCCCGUCUUGACGGUACCUAAUCAGAAAGCCACGGCUAACUACGU
rnacentral:rRNA from 1 species